rnacentral:autocatalytically_spliced_intron from 1 species
AACCGCCGUAUACGAGACCCGUACGUACGGUGGUGUGAGAGGCGCUCCGGUGGGCAAUUGGCUCACUGGCCGUCCACUCGAU